rnacentral:rRNA from 1 species
CGGACGGGUGAGUAAUGUCUGGGAAACUGCCUGAUGGAGGGGGGAUAACUACUGGAAACGGUAGCUAAUACCGCAUAACGUCGCAAGACCAAAGAGGGGGGACCUUCGGGCCUCUUUGCCAUCAGAUGUGCCCAGAUGGGAUUAGCUAGUAGGUGGGGUAACGGCUCACCUAGGCGACGAUCCCUAGCUGGUCUGAGAGGAUGACCAGCCACACUGGAACUGAGACACGGUCCAGACUCCUACGGGAGGCAGCAUG